rnacentral:rRNA from 1 species
AGAGUUUGAUCAUGGCUCAGAACGAACGCUGGCGGCAGGCUUAACACAUGCAAGUCGAACGCAUCCUUCGGGGUGAGUGGCAGACGGGUGAGUAACGCGUGGGAACGUGCCCUUCAGUUCGGGAUAACCCAGGGAAACUUGGGCUAAUACCGGAUACGUGCGAGAGCAGAAAGAUUGAUCGCUGAAGGAUCGGCCCGCGUCUGAUUAGCUAGUUGGUAGGGUAAUGGCCUACCAAGGCGACGAUCAGUAGCUGGUCUGAGAGGAUGAUCAGCCACAUUGGGACUGAGACACGGCCCAAACUCCUACGGGAGGCAGCAGUGGGGAAUAUUGGACAAUGGGCGCAAGCCUGAUCCAGCCAUGCCGCGUGGGUGACGAAGGCCUUCGGGUUGUAAAGCCCUUUUCCCGGGGACGAUGAUGACGGUACCCGGGGAAUAAGCACCGGCUAACUCCGUGCCAGCCGCGGCGGUAAUAC